CGGGGGCAGUGAACCAGACCAGGAGACGGACCCAUCCCAGAGCCAGUCCUACAACUGCGGGAGAGAGACAGGACGUCAGGUAGGGACACAGGAGAGAGUGUGUGACAGAGAGAGAGGGGGUAGGAGAGAGUGUGUGACAGGGUGAGGGAAUGUAAGAAAUGGGGAGUUGUGGGGAGAGAGUGUGAGAGGGAGAGACGGAGUGUGCGAGAUGGGAGAUUGUGUGUUACACAGGGGGAGGGAGUGUGAGAGACAGGGAGACGGGGGAAAGCACAUGAGAUGUGAGACCAUAAGACAUAGGAGCAGAAUUAGGCCAUCUGGCCCAUCAAGUCUGCUCCACCAUUCAAUCAUGGCUGAUCAUUUUUUUCCCUCCUCAGCCCCAGUCCCUAGCCUUCUCCCCAUAACCUUUGAUGCCAUGUCCAAUCAGGAACCUAUCAAUCUCUGCCUUAAAUACACCCAAUGACCUGGCCUCCACAAGCAUGUGGCAACAAUUCCCACAAACUCACCACCCUUAGGUUAAAGACAUUUCUCUGUAUCUCUGUUUUGAAAGGACACCCUUCUAUCCUGAGGCUGUGCCCUCUUGUCCUGGACUUUCCCACCAUGGGAAACAUCAUUUUCACAUCUACCCCAUCUAGGCCUUUCAACAUUUGAAAGGUUUCAAUGAGAUCCCCCCCCCCCCUUAUUCUUCUGAAUUCCAGCAAGUACAGACCCAGAGGCAACAAAUGUUCCUCGUAUAAUAAACCUUUCAUUAUCGGAAUCUUCCUUGUGAACCUCCUUUGGACCUUCUUCAAUGCCAGCACAUCUUCUCCAAAAUGAGGAACCCAAAAUUGUUCACAAUACUCAAGGUGAGGCGUCACCAGUGCCUUAUAAAGCCUCAGUGUCACAUCCCUGCUCUUGUAUUCUAGACAUCUUGAAAUGAAUGCCAACAUGGCAUUUGCCUUCCUCACCACCGACAAGUUAACCUUCAGGGUGUUCUGACAAGGACUCCCAACUCCCUCUGCAUCUCUGAUCCCUGGAUUUUCGCUCAGUUUAGAAAAAACAUUUAUUUCUAUUUUAUUUGCCACUUUCUUGCCCACUCUCCUAAUCUAAGUCCUGCAUCCUACCUGUUUCCUCAACACUACCUGCCCCUCCACCAAUCUUCAUAUCAUCUGCAAACUUAGCAACAAAGCCAUCUACUUCAUCAUUUAAAUCAUUUAUAUACAGCAUAAAAAGAAGUGGUCCCAACACCGACCCCUGCGGAACACCACUGGUCACUGGCAGCCAACCAGAAAAAGAUCCUUUUAUUCCCACUCACUGCCUCCUACCAAUCAGCCAAUACUCCAACCAUGUUAGUAACUUUACUGUAAUACCAUGGACUCUUAACUUGGUAAGCAGCAUAAUGUGUGGCACCUUGUGAAAGGCCUUCUGAAAUUACAAAUAUACAACAUCCACUGCAUCCCUUUAUCUAUCCUACUUGUAAUCUCCUCAAAGAAUUCCAACAGGUUCAUCAGGCAGGAUUUUCCCUGAAUGAAACCAUGCUGACUUUGUACUAUCUUGUCCUGUGUCACCAAGUCCUCCAUCAUCUCAUCCUUAACAAUUGACUCUAACAUCUU